CUAGGCCCAGUUGAGUGUGCAGAAUACUCUGCUAGCAUUUCCCAUGUUGGUUUUUGUUUUUGCGUCUGGGGGUAUUGAACCCAGGAGUGCUUUACCACGAAGUUGAUUCUCCCCCCCCCCGCCCCCCGCCCGUUUAUUUUUUUCAUGGCUGAGGACCGAACUCAGGGGAUUUUGUGAAAAGGAGAUUCUGAAUCUGUAGCUCUGGGUAGGACCUGAGAAUCUGCAUUUCCACAAGCCCUCAAGUGAUAGAAUCCGGGCUGGUCAUUUGUCAUUAAACCACACUGAGUGAGAGGGUGCAGACGAUUGUUUAUUCUCAUUCAUUAGUUCAGUUGGGCUACAGAUUAGCAGAAAGAGACACCACCCACCUCCAUUCCCAUUGUCCAGCCCUACACCUGUGACUUUAACAAAUUUAUUCUUUUACAAAUUUAUUAUUUUAUUGAGGUGAGAAGUCCUAAAUGAGUCUUCAAGGCUAAAAACAAAGUGUCAGAAGGCUUCUGAAGAUUCUGCGGAAGAAUCCAUUCCUUGCCUUUUCCUGCUUCUAGAGGCUGCCCUUGGUUUCUGGCUUUGAUGACAUUAUUUCUUCUUUCUCUGCUUGCCCUUCCUGUCUGACCUUGCUGGUCUGUCUUAUAAAGAUGCUGUGAUUACAUUAUACUGACUUGGAUAAUCUACUCCUCAUCUCCAGAUGCUUAAUUUAAUCACAUUUCCAAAGUCCCUUUUGCCAUAUAAGGUAACAUAUUAAUAAGUUUCAGGUAUUAGGACACAGAAACCUUUGGGGGCCACUAUUUAGCCCUAGAACUAAGACAUUCUCUCCCUGAAGAAAGUUAAUAAAUUAUACUGUAUAAUCUACAGUUUGCAUUUAACUUGCCUAAUUUUCCCAACAAUAUAUUUUACAGAAUUCUUUUUUCUCGUCAUGACCCAACCUAGAAUCAUGUGUAGUUUUUAUGGCUGUGUAGUCCCCUUUGGUCCAUAUUAGUUCCCUAUCUUUAUUUAAUUUUUCAUGACCUUGACAUUGAUACUGAUUUUGGAGGUCAAGAUCAGGUCCAUGAUCCCCUAGUGUUGAAGAUUAAAUACCCAAGAAAUGUUGAGGCAAGCGUAGAAAGCAAGUUUCAUCUAAGAAAGGGACAGACUUCUCCAGAGAGAAAUGAGGCCCAGAAUAGUGGGUGCAGGUGUGUGUUUCAAAGUGUGAUCCUCUGAGGUGUUGGCAUCCCAUUGAGCUGGGAAGUGUGAUCUAGGAAUCCAGCAAUAACCAGCCAUCAGAAAUUUUACAAUGGUGAAAUCUGGCCAAUGCAACCUCGACCAAGUGAUCAAACUGAGCACUUUGUGACAUCACAUGCCUCCUGAUGGGAUAUGCUCUUCCUUUGGAACAUCCCUGCCUGGCCUGAGGGGACAGAAAAUGUCACAUUCCUCAAAAAACUGAGACGGGGUAGAAGGCCUGGCAGAUAUUGAAUGAUGGGGAUCCAGAGAGGAUGAUGGCUGGUUAUUGCUGGUUAAGGGCAGGACCCUUAAGGUCAGAGGAGCCGUCACAGCGACCCCAAAGAAAAAGAUGAGGAAACCAAGGCUCAGAGAAAUGCAGCAACUUUCCAAUGACCACACAGCUGCAAGUGGCAGCACCAGGCCUGGAACUUGGUCCUUCUGAGCCCAGAGUCUGUGUUCCUCCUGCUCUGCUUCAUGGCCAUGCCUCCUUGAACCUUCUAGCUUGAGCCACCUUCCCUCCUGCUUGUCAAAUGGAUUAACAGGUAGAUAUGUGUGUGCAUUAAAGGCCUCAGCCUUCCUAACCUCGAAUAUAUCAAGCUCCUCUCAAGCCUGGUGACCCCAGGACCUACUGUCUGAUCUACUCCAACUGGAGAACUUUGGAACAAGUCUGCUUGAACAUAAGGGCGACUGGCAAGUAUGCAUUUGUUGGUUCUUUUGAGAAGGGUGAUUCAGUGGUUUGGAUCUUAAAUGUCCCCAAAGGCCAGAUGCUGUCAUCUGGAUCUCUAGCCUGAGGUGCUAUAGGGAGAUGGUGCAACUCUACAGGAGUGAGGCCCAGUGGAAGCCCUUGAAAGGGGAUUGUGAGACUCUGACUGCUUUCUCUU